rnacentral:rRNA from 1 species
UACGGGGGGGAGCAAGCGUUGUUCGGAUUUACUGGGCGUAAAGGGCGCGUAGGCGGCCACCGCAAGUCGACUGUGAAAUCUCCGGGCUUAACCCGGAAAGGUCAGCCGAUACUGCGGGGCUAGAGUGCAGAAGGGGCAACUGGAAUUCUCGGUGUAGCGGUGAAAUGCGUAGAUAUCGAGAGGAACACCUGCGGCGAAGGCGGGUUGCUGGGCUGACACUGACGCUGAGUCGCGAAGACUAGGGGAGCGAACGGG